AAAGAAAAUAACAAUGAUUCCCCUAGUAACUGCGAGUGAAGAGGGACAAGCUCAAAUUUUAAAUCUAUCGGGUUUUACCCGAUCGAGUUGUAAUUUGAAGAAGCGUUUUCUGCGUUUUUGGUCAGCCCAAGUCCUAUUGAAUGAGGCAUCAUGGAGGGUGAUAAUCCCGUCCGGUUGAUCAUUUGCGUUUUACGAUACGCUUUCUAAGAGUCAAGUUGUUUGGGAUUGCAGCUUAAAAUGGGAGGUAAAUUUCUCCUAAGGCUAAAUAACGGCGAGAGACCGAUAGCGAACAAGUACCGUGAGGGAAAGAUGAAAAGAACUUUGAAAAGAGAGUUAAACAGUACGUGAAAUUGUUGAAAGGGAAACGAUUGAAGCCAGUCGUACCUUCGGGUAAUCAGCCUUUCGGGUGCGAUUCUGUGGAGUGUGAGGAGCUUAACACCUUCAUGCUUUGCAUAUUUGUGCUCUUGGGUGUACUUGCCCGUGUGGUUGGUUAACAUCAAUUUUGAUUAUCAUAAAAUGACUGGAGGAAUGUAGCUUCGAUCUCGUAUUGAAGUGUUAUAGCCUUCGGUAGAUGUGAUGAUCGAGAUUGAGGAUUGCAACGGAUACCCUUCGGGGCUACCUGUCUGGUCUCUGAUCGUUGCUCUGGUGCCGAAAGCGUGCUUACGGUUAUCAAAGUCGAUGGUCAAUAGGUUAGAACGGGUUAAAUU
rnacentral:rRNA from 1 species